rnacentral:rRNA from 1 species
GAUGAACGCUAGCUACAGGCUUAACACAUGCAAGUCGAGGGGCAGCAUGCAGGUAGCUUGCUAUCUGUGAUGGCGACCGGCGCACGGGUGAGUAACGCGUAUCCAACCUUCCCCGCAGUAGGGCAUAGCCCGGCGAAAGUCGGAUUAAUACCCUAUGUUCUCCUUAACAGGCAUCUAACGAGGAGCAAAGAUUGAUCGCUGUGGGAUGGGGAUGCGUCUGAUUAGCUUGAUGGCGGGGUAACGGCCCACCAUGGCAACGAUCAGUAGGGGGUUCUGAGAGGAAGGUCCCCCCACACUGGUACUGAGACACGGACCAGACUCC